rnacentral:rRNA from 1 species
CCGCGGUAAUUCCAGCUCCAAUAGCUUUGUUGAAAGUUGCUGCAGUUAAAAAGCUCGUAGUUGAAUAUCCGGCGUCUCUGACGUCUGCCUGAUACGACUUUCGAUACUGAAAGGUUUUGACUGUUCGUUUGGGCGUUUACUGUGAACAAAUUAGAGUGCUCAAAACAGGCUUUUGCUUGGAUUUUUUAGCAUGGAAUAAUAGAAUACGACUUCGGUCAUUUUAUUGGUUAUUGAACGGAGUAAUGGUUAA